AUACCUAAAUAUCACAACCCUCAGAUUUUGAGUCCCUUUUAUGUAGGAAAAUAGAGGAUACCUUCUCUAUCAAAUCAGUAAUGUUGAGUCAGGCAUUUUUGUUUUGUUUUGUUUUUCAGGAUAAAGGUGAUAUCUGACAAUUCAAAGUAACAGUGAGGUUCAUUUGAUCAAGUACUUACUGUGGACUCUAGGACCAUUUAUUCAAAUUGCUGUCUUUGAUUAAUUCAAAAACAUUUGGUGCCUUUUUCUCCUAGCUUUCUUCAACAACUGUCAUUAAUCACAGAAUUUGGCAACAAUCUUUCCACCAAGGCCAUGAAUAGUCUUUGAAUGAAUGAGGUUUAUUUCUUUGUGUUAAGUUUCUGUACCCCAAGGCUAUUAAAAUUUCAUAGUUUCUCCAUGUUCUUCAAAGCUUUCAAUUUUGGCUAAAAACAACAUGACAGAACAAGAUCUAUUAUCUGGGUCUAUGAAGUAAUCUGCACUCAAAUGCCUGGUGAUUAUGGCAGUUAAACCUGUUUAUCAAAGCACACUGCUUUUGGAGAAAGUAUUUCUGAAAGUUGUGUCUAUAAAAAGGGUAGAAAAGACUCCCGGCUGAUCAAAGCAUUUAGAUCAGGCAGCCAUUCAGCCACAUGGACUACUAGGACAAGGAUUAGGCCCCCACAGAGUAGAUAAGUUUAUAAAAUGAUCCAAAGGAGCCAAAAGAUCAGAAAAUAAUAGGAUUAGUUGUCUGUUUUAUUGUUCUGGGAUUCUGUUUCUAGAUUAUGAAAGAUCAAAGGGGUUUUUCACCUCUUCUCAUGUUGACGUCUAGAACCUUCUUUCCAAAUAAUGUGGUAGGGCUUAUCAGUAUAUGAUGAAGAUUUGGAUUUUGCAUCUGGCUUUUAAACUUCUUUGUGUAAACUAGACCUUUAUCCUCUCACUUCAUCCUCUGGAUAUGGAAGCCAGCUAAAACAUCCCCUCCUGAUCUUAAUCUCUCCGUCUUUGCAUGGCAAUAAAUCAGAAUUGUUGCUCUUCUUUCCCCCAGUUCUCUGAAUUUUCUUAUCUGUUUCUCACUUCCUUUCUUUUCUGCUCUGCUCCCAUAGUUCUAAAUGACCUGUAGAAGGCCUUCAUCACCCAUGCCUAUCCUAGUAUUCAUCAGUUGGUAGAAGGACUCCCUGCUUUCUCAAAGACUUCUCAAGAUAGAGAAAUGCACAAUAGAAGAGAAAGAGAAAUAUGGUUAAGCAAACUUAAGGAUUUAGGAUUUUUGGAGAAUGUUCAAAAGAAAGUUGUGAAACCUAUGAGAAAGUUUUAGAAGAAAUAAAAUAGCCUUACAAAGAGUUAAUGGGGGCUAAAGGUUGUUGUAGAGUACAUGUCAAAUUACAAUGCCUGGAAGCAAAGCAACAGUCUGGUCCACAAAAUAAUAUGAGGAAUAAGAUAUGGUCAAAUUGUCAAAAAUUCCACAUUUUUGUGGUAAGAAUGUGUGGUCAAUACAAAAACAAUAGGUCAAACUAGAUCCAAACUUCAGAUGACUGAAUCAUACGUGGAGAGAAAGAGAAAUUCAAAGCAGAAUAAAUCCUCCACAAGGAUUAUUGUCCACUGCAUUUUAACAUCAUUAAUUUGGGCAAUUACCUCAAUGCCCAAUUAAUAUGUUAGAAUGGAUUUCUAAGCCCACAUUGCUCACCUGACCCCGUGGACUCUUAUUAUUGUUGUGGUUCAUUCUGUUACGUGCCAGGUGAUGGAUGCCACAGUGAUGGUUUAAAAUUAACUGGAUAUCUUCCUAUACCUCGGCCCCACCUUAGAUGUAAGGAUCAACUCCAUUAACAAAUAUAAAACAAGAAAUACAGGAGUUAUUAAGAAAUAAUUUUUAGGCAGCUGGAAAGGGUAAAUGUUCUCGGUAGUAAUUUUCCUGUAAUAAGAAGCAACCCCCAAACCAUUUCUUUUCUAAUAGAAAGGCAGCUUGAAGGGCUAGGCUGGCAAGCUUUGAUAUGCAAAUGCAGGCUAUUAGAAACUGGGUCCACCCAAUAUGGCGAUUCCCGCCUUCUUGUCACCAUGAGUGCCAAGUGUCUUGGCUACCUCCAGAUAACUCCGUGUGUUCAGGACAUCAUGGCAGCUCUCAUUUGCAUAUUAAAAGACUAAGGUGGGAGGACCAGGUUUUUUGUUGGCUAUGUGAAUGACACACCUGGUCAAACCAAUCCCUGGGGCCCUAUGCAAAUCGGACACCGCCUCCCCCAGCCUCCAGUAUAACCAACCAUUUUUCUAUCACACGCAGGGUUUCUGUCUUGGACCCUCCCUCCCUCUGUCUCCAUAUGGGGAAGCUUCUUUCUUGCUUGUUAAACUUUCUGCUCCUUAAAUCCACUCCACGUGUGUCCAUGUCAUUUUAUCUAAAUCAGCAGGAGACUAAGGACCCUGGUGCUCUUCCAGUCAUUUCAGCCGUAUCACAACUACCCUGAGAGAGGCUUUGCAAACAGCUACUUUAACAUCAAACUACAUGCAAUUUGUUUUCACUGCUGGACUUCCAUAAUUGUGAAGCUGUGAUUAUCAGAAUUUCUGAUUCAAAGAUUCUUGCAGGCCCUGUUGACUGGAGGGUGGCCAUUUGAUAACACAGAUUCUUUCCUGAGGAGACUUUGGCUUCUGGUGACUUGGGUCCCGGGCAGGAACUAAUCAAGGUAACAACUUGACUCACGGAGAACAAAGAAAAGCAAGACGGGACAACAGCCCACCUGGGACCAACAUGGAGCCAGGGGACCCUGCUCCACCUAAAGAAGCCAUGCUGCUUCUCCAGAUCUUUGCAACCCUUGGGUCAGGAGAUCAUCCUGUGAACCAGUCCACCAGGACUUUCAUUCAGUCUGACAGAGCUACGUGGAGUCUUGGCAGAGCAACCACUCAGACAUGCAUGGACACACGCAUGUGUGCCUGUUCCCAUGUAGCCUUAGAUACUUGGGCUUUCCAGCAAAAGUAGCUGUGGCUCCAGCAAAGUGGGUGGUUAGACCCCUGUCCAUACCCAUAAAAAGAGGCUGAAUCCAGUGGGGUGAACAACAACAGCUUGAAGGCCCCAUUUCCAUGGGACCUGAUAAGAUAAGACCCACUGGCUUAGAACUUGAGCCAGCCACUGGUAGCAGCAUUGUAUCUCCCUAAGGAAGAGCUUCCAGGGGGACAGGUGGGCCUCCAUCUUUACUGAUCAGUACCUUAGCAGUUCUAGCCUUCAGGCUUUGCAGAAUCCAGGCUGACCAGGGGCAGAAGGGAUCCCCCAAUAUAGCACAGCUGCUCUACCAAACGUGGCCAGACUACUUUAAGCAGGUUGUUACUGGGCUGGACUUCCCAACUGGGACACCUCCAGUCACCUCUCCCCCAGUGGUGUUCUCUGGCCAACAGAGAUUACUAACCUCCCAGGGAUGGAGCUCCCAGAGGGAGGGGGUGGGCCACCAUCUCUGCUGCUUGGGUGACUUAGCUGGUUCCAGCCAUCUGGACUUAGGUUGUCUGAGGCAACCAGGGGCUGAAGAAAAUGCCCAGCACAACAUAGCUGCUCUACCGAAAUGUGGCCUGACUUCUUUUUUAAGCAAGUCCCUGAUCCUGUUCCUCCUGACCAGGCAGGACCUCCAAACUAGGGUCUUCAGUCACCUGCUACAGGUGCCUCUGGGCCAGCAACAGGCCCAUACUUCUCUGGGUCAAAGCUCCCAGAGAGAGGGCCAGGCUGCCAUUUUGCUGUUUCACAGCCCUCACUGGUGAUACCUCUAAGUACUGGAAAGUCCAAAGUGAUGAUAGAGUGGAGCAGGCCCCAAGCAUACCAAAGCAGCCCUACAGAAAAGUGGCCAGUCUACUACAUGGGUGCCUGUUCCCAUAUCUCCCAAUACUUCAGGCUUGGGCCUCCAGCCACCCACCACCAGAGCUAUUAAGCCCACAGCAACUUGUCAACUCCCUGGACAGAGAUCAACUAAAAGCCUCUCCUGUAUUGCUUUAUUUUGAUUCUUAUUUUGCUUGGAUUGGGGUUUAUUUCCCUCCUGAAUCUCAAUGAUCUUUCUUCUAAUCCAUAUUCUGACUUCUAUUCCUUCAUCUCAACUAGUUCAACCAGGUUAAGAACUCUUAUUGGAGAACUGAUUCAGUCAUUUAGAGGACAUAUGACAAUCUAAGCAUUUGCAACACUGAAGUUCUUGUAUUGUUUUUUUCUCAUCUCUUUGUGUAGGUGUUCCUUUAACUAGAGUGUAGAUUGAGUAUAGUCCAUAGACUAUUUUCCAGGAGCUAAAGGGUGAAAUAGCCAGUGUUAAAAAGAACCUAACAAGUCUGCCAGAGCAGAAUAAGACAAUUCAAGAAUUUCACAAUGCAGUCACAAGUAUUAACAGAAGAAUAAACUGAGCUGGGGAAUAAAUCUCAGAACCUGAAGAUGGUUCCCUGAAACAAAGAAGUCAGACAAAAAUCAAGAAAAAAGAAUUUAAAGGAAUAAACAAAACAUCUGAGAAGUAUGAGAUUAUGUAAAGAGACCAAAUCUAUGAAUCAUUAUCAACCCUGUAAGGGAUGGGGAGAAAGCAAACAACUUGAAAAGCAUAUUUCAGGAUACCAUCUAUGAAAACUUCCCCAGUCUUCUAUGGAGGCCAACAGUCAAAUUCAGGAAAUAGAACUCCCUGUAAGAUUCUACACAAAAAGAUUAUUCCCAAGACACACAAUUGUCAGAUUUUCCAAGGUAAAAAUGAAAGAUUGUUAAAGGCAUCUAGACAGAAAGGGCAGGUUAAUCUACCAAAGGGAACCCCAUCAGACAGUGCAACUCCCAGCUAAAACCUUGCAACCCAGAAGAGAGUGGGGGCCUAUACUGAACAUUCUUAAAGAAAACAUCUUCAACCAAGAAUUUUACAUCCUGCCAAACUAAGCUUCCUAAGUGAAGAAGAAAUAAGAUCCUUUCCAGAGAAGCAACUGUUGGGGGAAUUCAUUACCAGCAGACUUGCCUUACGAGAGAGAGAUAUUGAAAAUACAAAAACACACAGACCAGUGUACCUGUAAAGCAAACACAUAAAUGAGCCACCAUAAUAAGCAACUAAUAGCACAGAGACAGGAUCAAACCCACACCUAUCAAUACCAGCCUUGAAUGUAACUGGGUUAAAAGGCAAGCUGGAUUAAAAAAAAGACCCAAGUGUAUGCUGUCUUCGGGAGACCCAUCUCUCACAUGUAGUGACACUCAUAGGCUCAAAAUAGUGGUGAAGGAAGUAAACAUAGCAAGCAAAUGGAAAACAGCAAAAAGCACAGGUGGCAAUUCUAAUAUCAGACAAAACAUUUCAAACCAACGAAAAUAAAGAAGGGCAUUAUGUAAUGGUAAAGGGUUCAAUUCUACAAAGAGACAUAGUUGUCCUAAAUAUAUAUGCACCAACCAGGAACACCCAGAUUCAUAAAGCAAGUUCUUAGAGACCUACUAUACAGAGACAUAAAGUCUCCCACUAUUAUUCUGUGAGAGUCUAACAUUUCACUGACAGUGUUAGAUUUUCAAGGCAGAAAAUUAAUAGAUAUUUAGGAGCUAAACUCAACAUUGGACCUACGGAUCUGAUAGACCUUUAAAGAAUGCGCCACUGAAAAAUAACAGAAUGUACAGUCUUCUCAUCACCACAUAAUAAAACUAUCCUCAGCAAAUAUAAAAGAACUAGAAUCAUACCAAACCCUCUCUUGCACCACAGUGCAAUGAAAAUAGAAGUCAAGACUAUGAAAACCACUCAAAAUUGUGGAAUUACGUGAAAAUUAAACAACAUGCUUCUGAAUAAACUUCUGGAUAAAUAAGGCAGCAAUCAACAAAUUCUUUGAAUAUCAUGAAAAUAAAGAUACAACAUAUCAAAAUCUCUGGGACACAACUAAUGAAGUGUUGAGAGGAAAAUUCAUAGCACUAAAUGCCCAUAUCAAAAAGUUCGAAAGAUCUCAAAUUAACCACCUAAAUUUAAACUGAAAGAAUUAGAGAAGCAAGGAUAAAAUCAACCCCAAAGCUAGCAGGAGACAAGAAAUAACAAAACUCAGAGCUGAACUGAAGGAAAUUGAGAGACAGAGACAGAGACAGAGAGAGAGAGAGAGAGAGAGAGAGAAACAUUUAAAAGAUCAACAAAUCUAGAAGUUUCUUUUUUUUAAAAAUUAUAUAGGCCACUAGCUAGACAAAUAAAGAAAAAAAGAUCCAAAUAAGACAAUUAGAAAUUAUAAAGGGGAUGUUACUACUAACCCCACAAAAAUAAAACCAACCAUUAGAAACUACUAUGAACACCUUUCCGCACACAACUAGAAAACCCAGAACGGAUGGAUAAAUUUCUGGACAUAAACACCCUCCCAAGAAAAGGCAGGAAGAAAUUGGUUUCCUGAAAUACAAUAGUGAGCUCCAAAAUCAAAUCAGUAAUAAAAAGCCUACCAACCACAACAAAAAAAAGCCCAGAACCUUAUGGAUUCACAGCCAAAUUCUACCAGAUGUACAAAGAAGAGCUCAUCCCAUUCCUACAGAAACUAUUCCAAAAAACGGGAGGGGGACUCCUCCCCAAUUCAUUCUAUGAAGCCAGCAUCAACUUGAUACCAAAACCUGGCAGAGACACAACAGCAACAACAAAUACAUCAGGUCAACAUCUUUGCUGAACAUCAAUGCAAAAAUUCUCAACAAAAUACUUGCAAACCAAAUCCAGCAGCACACCAAAAAGCAAAUCCAGCACAAUUCAAUUAGCUUUCAUCCCUGGGAUGCAAAAUUGCUUCAACAUACGCAAAUCAAUAAACGUAAUUCAUCAUACGGACAAAAGAUGAAAAUCACAACUACCUUAAUAAAUGCAGAAAAGGCUUUCAAUAAAAUUCUUCACCUUUUCAUGUUAAAAACUCUAAAUAAACAAGACAUUGAAGGUACAUACCUCAAAAUAGUAAGAGCCAUCCACAACAAACCCAGAGCCAAUGUUACACUGAAUGAGCAAAAGCUGGAAGCCUUCCCAUUGAAAACUGGCACAAGAUAAAGAUGCCUUCUCUACUAUGUUUAAUGUAAAUGGUGAGAGAAGUCUUAGCCAGAGCAAUCAGGCAAGAGACAGAAAUAAAGCGUAUCCAAAUAGGAAGAGAGGAAGUCAAACUCUGUUUGUAGACAACAUGGCUCUAUCUAGAAAACCAUAUAGUCUCAGCCCAAAACUUCCUCCAGCUGAUAAACAACUUCAGCAACAUUGCAUGAUAUAAAAUGAAUGUAAAAAAGAAAAUUACUAGCUUUCCUAUACAGCAACAACAGCCAAACCAAGAUACAAAUCAGAAAGGCAUUCCCAUUAACAAUUGUCACAAAAUAAAUAAAAUACCUAGGAACACAGCUGAUCAGGGAGGUGAAAGAUCUCUACAAUGAGAUUUGCAAAACACAUCAAAGAAAUGAGAGAAAACAGAACAAAUGGAAAAACAUCCCAUGCUCAGAUAGGAAGUAUCAAUAUUAUUGAGAUGGCCAUACUGCCCAAAGAAAUGUACAGAUUCAAUGCCAUUCUUAUCAAACUACCAAUGACAUUCUUCAUAGAACUAGAAAAAAACUAUCUUAAAAUUCAUAUAUACCUCAAAAUUGUCUAAAUAGGCAAGGCAGUCCAAAGCAAAAAGAACAAAGCUGGAGGCCUCAUGUUAUCCAACUUCAGAUUAUACUACAAGGCUACAGUAACCAAAACAACAUAGUCCUGGUACAAAAAUAGACAUAUAGACGAAUGGAACAGAAUAGAGAGCUCUGUGACCAUUUGAUCUUCCACAAAACUGAUAAAAAUAAGCAACAGGGAAAAGACUCAUUCCAUUAAUGGUGCUGGGAAAACUGGUUAGCCAUAUUCAGAAGACUGCGGCUGGAUCCCUUCCUUACAUCAUACACAAAAAUCAACUCAAGAUGAGUUAAGGACUUAAAUGUAAAGCCCCAAACUAUGAAGACUCUGGAAGACAACCUAGGCAAUACCAUCCUUGACAUAAAACUGGGCAAACAUUGCAUGACAAAGACACCAAAAGCAAUCACAACAAAAGCCAAAAUUGACCAGUGGGAUCUGAUUAAGCUUAAGAGCUUCUGCACAGCAAAAUAAAAUUAUUUACAAACUAUGCCUCUCAAAAUGGUCUAAUAUCCAACAUCUAUAAGAAAUUUAAACAAAUUUACAAGGGAAAAAACAACCUUAUUAACAAGUAGGCCAAGGACAUGAACUGACACUUUUCAAAAGAAGACAGACAUGUGGCCAAUAGCAUAUGAAAAAAUGCUCAUUAUCACUGAUCAUUAGAGAAAUGCCAGUCAAAACCACAAUAAGAUACCGCCUCACAUUAGUCAGAAUGGCAGUUACUGAAAAGUAAAAAAAUGACUGAAGCUGGUGAAGUUUCAGAGAAAAGGGAACACUUAUUCAUUGUAGGUAAGAGUAUAAAUUACUUCAACCAUUUUGGAAAGCAGUAUGGUGAUUCCCCAAAGAGCUAAAAGCAGAACCACCAUUUAACCCAGUACUUCCAUAAAUGGGUAGAUAUCCAGUGUAAUAUAAAUCAUUUUAUUAUGAAGAUACAUGCUCACAAAUGUUCAUUACAGCACUAUUUGCAAUAGCAAAGAUGUGGAAUCAACCUAAAUGCCCAUGAAUGACAGAUUGGAUAAAGAGAACAGAGUACAUAUAUACUAUGGAAGACUAUGCAGCCAUAAAAAGGAAUGAUAUCAUGCCUUAUGUGGGAACAUGGAUGAGGCUGCAGGGUAUUAUCCUUAGCAAACUAAUGCAGGAACAGAAAAUCAACUGCCACAUGUUCUCACUUAUAAGUGGGAGCAAAAUAAGAACACAAAGAAGGAAACAACAGACACUGGGUUGGGAGGAGGGAAAAGAGCAGAAAAGAUAACUAUUAGGUACUGGGCUUAAUACAUGGGUGAUCAAACGAUAAAUACAACAAUCCUCUAUGACGUGUUUACCUACAUAACCUUCAUAGGUACCCCAAACCUAAAAAAAUUUUAAAAGGCUGGGUGCAGUGGCUCACGCCUAUAAUCCCAGCACUCUGGGAGGCCAAGGUGGGCAGAUCACCUGAGGUCAAGAGUUCAAGACCAGCCUAACCACCAUGGUAAAACCUCGUCUCUGUUAAGAAUACAAAAAUCAGCUGGGCACGGAGGCAUAUGCUUGUAAUCCCAGCUACUAGGGAGGCCAAUUCAGGAUAAUUGCUUGAACCCGGGAAGAAGAGGUUGCAGCGAGUCAAGAUUGCACCACCGCACUCCAACCUGGGUGACAGAGCAAGACUCCAUCUCAAAAAAAGAAAACCUUUAAAAAAAAAAGUAGUCUUAUAAUUAAUAUUCUGGUGUUCUGGCACUCUUUCAGAAUGUAACAAGACUUUUUUCUAAUUAGACUUCAUAUAAACUAAUUUUAAAUACAUUCCUAUUUUUAAAAAAACAAAGGUUGGCAAAGUGGAGACACAUGUCUUUAAGGGAGAAUCUUCCUACUUAAUCAUUUGUCCAUCUGUCCAUCCUAUGCCAUGUCUUCUUUCUCCUCCAUUUCAUGAACAUGACCCUACAUUGAACACCUAUGACAUGCCAAGCGUUGUGCUACGUCAAUUCCUAUUCCUAUUUCCAAAAAGUCUUAGCUGCCUUCUUGGAAUCAGUGAACAGAUAUAUAAGAUCCUUGAGUAUGCUUUUUCUAUUGCUUAUAGAAACACACAUGUGCUUUGCUUCUUGGAUUGCUAACCCCUACUAAGGAAGCAUUGUACCAGAGGAAUACUUCUUUUCCAUAUAGAAACAGUGAUGUAGCACUGAGUAGGCACUCAGUAUUUACUGAAUAAAUUCAUCAAUAGCUGCGAUAGCUUUCCCCUCUCCAUGCCAAAAUCCUAAGUAAGUUUUGAAAAGUCUUAAAAUUUACUUCGAUUGCUUUCCAUUCUAUCAUUUUUGAAAAGAAAAAUGGACCCUGAAUACUUUCAGGCCAAAUUCCUGGAGGAAAAUAGUAAGAAACGGGAAACUGCUACUUAUUAGGAGCUGCCAGCAAGUUAAAUUUUUAUGACAAAAUAUAUUCCAAUUAUUUCACCAUUGCCUCCUUCCUGGUAAGGCUUAUCAUUGUUAGUUACCCUCAUUUGCAUUAUUUUCAUUUCAUAUGCCCUGCUAAAAAAACAAAUGUUAUUUUUAUUUUUUCAUAUGUCAAAACAGAGGAUUUGAGAAAUUAAAUAACUUUUAAAGUUAUUUAAACAGGCAUAGGUGGAGAAAUGGUUAAGUAGGAUGAUUCUCCUUUUCCUUUGAAAUUUACGGGGAUCCAUGUAAAAUCCAAAAUUUCAACGACAUGGAGGGAAGCAUACAUAGCUUCAGAUGUGCCAGAGUUAGGGUUCCUGCAGGAGGGAGGGGAAGAACAUCAUCUCAGCAGGACAUGAAACUUGGAAACAUAGUCUCUAGGACUCCAGUGGCCACACAAAGAAGUCACUGGGUCAAGAUGGGGCUGGUGAGGGGGUUUGAAGAGCCUGUCUAAGAAGGGGCAGGUGCUGAAUUAGUGGAAUGUAAGAGUUGGCACUGAGCAAGGAGGCAAGCCCAAGAGAAAGAAGACUGACUCACCAGGAAGUGGAAUUAGCACAAAAGGUCAACUUUCUCUCACAUAGAAAGGAAAAUCCACAAGUCAUAUCCCUGACGGGACAACAACAAAGCCUAGACACUUCAGCAAAAACACAGCAUGCCCAGAAUAUGGCUUUUCUAGGAAAAGCUUUGAGUAAGACUUCCAUAUGGGAAAAAUGUUUUAAAAACUGGGUACUUAGUGGGAUAGAAAGAAUUUUCAUGUAGGCAUUAAGGAUAUUUCUAGAUCUCUCAUCUCCUCUGGGUGCAACUAGGUGUACAGAGAAAAAUACUUUGGUGGUUUUCAUUUCAAAAUAAAGAAAAAGAAUUCAUUAAAAGAAUGUGAAAUUAAUUUUAGCAGCAAAAUAGCAUCACCAUCAUUUAAACUAAGAAACAGCUCUUCUAGCAUAGCUACCACAGGUUCAAUUCAUUACAACUGAUAAGAUGUGGAAGACAUGAGAGGAAGAGAAGAGCUGAAUAGGAAAAUAUUCAGGAAGAUGGAGGAAAAACCACUAAAAUUCAUUGGUUACAGCAGUCCAUUAAAACAUGUUCCAGCCCACUUACUGAAGCUGUGGAAAAACUGGGAACUCAUAUUUCUCACUCUAGGAUGUGGAAAGUUUAAAUUACAAGAAGAUAGGAAGGAAAUGGCAAAAGGAAGGAACACUGUGAGUUAGUGCAGCUAAUCUGAAUUUAUUAAUAUUUCUAAAUUUAAGAAAACACAGGGAAAAUCAAACAAAAGGAUGGGAUUAUAAUAAAACUGCCAUUAAUUUAUGUACCAAAAAAGCUGAAAAAAGAGGACUUUCUUAAAGCUUAUACAAAUGAAGAGAAACAUUAGACUAUGUACUUCAUUAAUUAUUACAAUAAAUACCUAUUGAGCAGGCUCUGUACACAAUGCACAUACAUAAAAGAGGGCAAUAAAAAGUCAACUAGGCAACUUUUUAUUACCCUAGUAUAUACAUAAGGGGGCAAAUAUAAAUCAACUGACCAUUCUGAACAUGCCUAUAUCUAAUUAAUUGACAGCUAUUGCUUCGAUAUUAGAAUUGCUACUAUUUAUUAAAUGCUUCCCAUGAUGUGGACACAUGUUAAGGAAAUUUACAUGUUAUUUCAUUGAAUUCCUCUAGCAGUUCUGAAAUAAGUAUUGUUACCCUCAGACAGUAGAUGAGAAAACUGAUGCUGAGAGAGGGUAAGUAACUCAUCCAAGGACACAUGGGUAGGAAAUAGAGAAGCCAAAGCUUAAGCCUAAGGAUAAUUCCCUCAGAGUUCGUGCUCUUUCUGCUAUGCCACAUUCUAUCACCUCCAUCUUAGUUUAGGGUAUCUAUAUCUUGAUGAGGUAGAGAAAGGCUUCUAAUGACAUGGAAGCCAAAGGCAGUACUCCUCAGGAAAGAGGGCUAAAUAAGAGUAUUUAAGAUGAUAGCAUGGAAAACAGAGUGCAUGUUGUAAACACCUAGCACAAUGCUGGGCAUAUCAUAGGUGUUCAAUGUAUGGUCAUGUUGAUAGAAAAUGAGGAGAAAGAAGGCAGGUAUAGGAUGGACAGAUGGACAAAUAGUUGGUUAAGUAGGAAGAUUCCUCUUUUUCUUUGAAGUUUACAGGAAACUGUGUGAAAUCCAAAAUUUCAAAAAAAUGGAGGGAAGCAUACACAGCUGAGAUUGUGCCAGAGUUAGGGUUCUGCAGGAGUGGAAGAACAUCAUCCCAUCAGGACAUGAAACCUGGAGACAUGGUCUUGAGGACUCCAGAGAGAAGGCAUCCUUAUCCCUUUGCUCAUGCAAGAUGGGCAAAGCAUUUAAACAUUUGGGAUUAUAAUACAUAUUACAUAGAUAUAUAUUAUAUAGAUUUUUUUAAUGUGUGAGUGUGUAUAUAUGUAAAAUAUAUUAUUCUCCCAAACUUUUGAAAUCCCAAAUAUGUAAACAAAAAAGUAUAUAUAUAUACAUAUAUAUGGCUAUAUGUCUAGGGGAAUAGGUAUAUACAGAUAUAGAUAUGUAUAGACACAGGCUAUUGCAACAUAUAUAUACACACACAUAUAUAUAGGUAUAUAUAUACACAUAUAUCUUGCAAUUGCCUGUUUUGUGAUUUACUUUUGUUAAACUUUAAAGCUGUCUCUGUGUUAACUUGUUUGCCAGUAUUCGUGUAGGAGGAGAAAGCGAUUUUUUGUUUCUUUGUCUUUUUUCAUGCCUACUGUAGGUCAUGGCAGGCUUUUUUUUUUUUUGUCCACAUUACAAUCCGAAUUUUUAUCAUAUUGUAACAAGCUUUCCCUUAUUUUCCUGAUACACUGAAAAAAUCUAAGAGCAUUCCUGAUGCCCUUGAAUGUUUCUUUAAAAAAACAUAACAUUUGAAAUUAGAGAAAACCUUAAGUGUUUGGAUAUUUUCAUCAGAUACAUUCUUAAGUGGAGGUCUUCUAUUAAAUAGCCUAGCUGUAGAAAGAGGCAGUCAAGCAUGAAACCCUAGGUAGAAUUAAAUAGAAAACAAAAUAAAAAGUUGCAUGUUGGCUGGGCGCGGUGGCUCACGCCUAUAAUCCCAGCACUUUGGGAGGCCAAGGCGGGUGGAUCACGAGGUCAAGAGAUCGAGACCAUCCUGGUCAACAAGGUGAAACCCCGUCUCUACUAAAAAUACAAAAAUUAGCUGAGCAUGGUGGUGCACGUCUGUAGUCCCAGCUACUCAGGAGGCUGAGGCAGGAGAAUUGCUGAAACCCAGGAGGCGGAGGUUGCGGUGAGCCGAGAUCAUGCCAUUGCACUCCAGUCUGGGUAACAACAGUGGAACUCCAUCUCAAAAAAAAAAAAAAAAAAAAAGUUGCAUGUUUUUAAACCACAUUUCUUAAAGUAUCUUAACAGGUCUGAACUAUGCCUAAGCCUGUUUUAUCAAAGUUACCACUAAAAAAUUAGCUAAAAGUAUUCAAUUUACAUCUCAAAUAUUUCUAGAGUAAAACUUUUUGAUCAGUUUCCUUGAUGUAUUACUAAUUACAUUUUUUUACAAUAUACAUGUUAAUAUUUCAUGAAUUCUUAUUAAUAUAAAAAGGCAUUAUUUUCACCAUUUCAGAAAUAGUAAAUAAGCACAAAACCAAAGAGGAAAUGUCACCAUCCAAAGACAACAAUCUUGAUAUUUCCUAUCAAUAUUUGUGUGUCUUUUGGAAUGGAAAAGGGUGAUAAACUUCUAUAGGACCCUCAGGCAGCCAAGAUCAAGACAUGUUCUCUUCUUCUUUCUCUCUGGGACUCAUUGCUUCUAAGAGAAGUGUGGUCUAGGACAUGGACUCUGAUGGCUCUAUUAAGUCUAUACUUCCCCCAAAAAAGAAAUUCUACCCACUCUACAAAGUAAUAAUCCUAUUUCAAGAAAAUCAUGCACAAUGAAGUAAUUCUUCAAAUUAUAGAUAGUAUAUAAAAUGAAUUCAAUUUUCCAAACAGUCUGCAUGAUUUUGCAUAUAUACAGCUCAUAGAUGAUUAUUCCAUAGUAACCUGGUAACAACCUCUCUUCUAAUUGGGGCCUGAUUCCAAGGUUCCAGGUUUCAUUUUUGUUCUAGAGAAGAUUCCCCCACAGACUGUUUUUAUACUUGCAUCUAAGGAGGCUCACAGAUUUUUAGAUGCAUUUAUUUUUCUAGACAGAGGCUACUGAUUAUAUCCUGUACUGAAAUAAGUUCCUGUAUAUCCUUUGAUAUGGUUUGUCUCUGUGUCCCCACCCAAAUUUCACCUUGAAUUGUAAUAAUCCCCACAUGUCAUGGAAGGGACCUGGUGGGAGGUAACUGAAUCAUGGGGGUGGUUAUUUCCUGUGCUGUUCUCAAGAAAGUAAGUCUCACAAGAUGUCAUGGUUUUAUAAAAGGAAGUUCCCCUCCACAUGCUGUCUUGCCUACUGCCAUGUAAGACAUGACUUUGCUCCUCCUUUGCUUUCUGCCAUGAUUGUAAGGCAUCCCCAGCCAUGUGGAACUGUGAGUCAAUUAAACUUCUUUCCUUUAAAAAUGACCCGGUCUCAGGUAUAUCUUUAUUAGUAGCAUGACAUGGACUAAUACAGUAAAUUGGUUCUGGUAGAAUAGGGUGCUGCUAUAUAAUGACCUAAAAAUGUGAAAGUGACUUUGGAACUAGAUAACAGGCAGAGGCUGAUACAGUUUGGACAGCUCAGGAGAAGGAAAGAAAAUGUAGGAAAGUUUGGAAUUUUCUAGACACUGUAGGGCUCUGAAGACAGGAAGAUUUAGGAAAGUUUAGAACAUUCCAGAAACUUGUUGCAUGGCUUUGACCAAAAUGCUAAUACUUCUAUGGACAAUAAAGUUCAGUCUGAGGUGGUCUCAGGUGGAGAUGAAGAACUUCUUGGGAACUAGAGAAAAGGCCACUGUUCCUAUGCAAAGAGACUGGCAGCAUUUGCCCCUGCCCUAGAGAUCUGUGGAAUUUUGAACAUGAGAGAGAUGAUUUAGGGUAUCUGACAGAAGAAAUUUCUAAGAGGCAAAGUGCUGAAGAGGAAACAGAUCAUAAAAGUUUGAAAAAUCUGCAGUCUGACAAUUCAAGAGAAAAGAAAAAUCCACUUUCUGGGAAGAAAUUCAAGUCUGCUGUAGAACUUUGUGUAAGUAACAAGGAGCUGAAUGUUAAUGACCAAGACAAUGGGGAAAAUGUCUCCAGGCCAUGUUAGAGAUCUUUUUGGCAGCCCCUCCCAUCACAGGCCCAGAGGCCCAGGAGAAAAAAUGGUUUCCUGGGCCAGGACCAGGGACCCCCCUGCUUUGUGCAGUGUGGGGACUUAGUGCCCUGCAUUCCAGCUGUUCCAGCUGUGGCUAAAAGGGGCCAAGGUACAGUUAGGGCCAUGGCUUCAGAGGGUGCAAGCCCCAAGUCUUGGCAACUUCCACACAGUCUUGAGCCUAUGGGUAAAUAGAAGUCAAGAAUUGAGGUUUGGGAACCUCUGCCUAGAUUUCAGAGGAUAUAUGAAAACACCUGGAUGUCCAGGAAAAAGUUUACUGCAGGUGCAGAGCCCUCAUGGAGAACCUCUGCUAGCGCAGUACAAAAGGAAAAUGGGUUGGAGCAUCCACACACAGUCUCUACUGGGGUACUGCUCACUGGAGCUGUGAGAAGAUGAACCACCAUCCUCUAGAACCCAAAACGGUAGAUCCACUGAGAGCUUGCACUUUGUGCCUGGAAAAGCCACAGAAAAUACCAGCCUGUGAAAGCAGCCAGGAGGGGAGCUGUACCUUGCAAAUCCAUAGGGUGGAGCUGCCCAAGGCCAUGGGAACCCACCUCUUCCAUCAGUGUGACCUGGAAUGUGAGUAAUGGAGUCAAAGGAGAUCAUUUUGGAGCUUUACGAUUUGACUGCCCUGCUGGAAUUUCAAGACUUGCAUGGGGCAUGUAGCACCUUUGUUUUGGCCAGUUUCUUCCAUUUGGAACAGCUAUAUUUACCCACUGCUUGUACCCACAUUAUAUCUAGCAAGCAACUAACUUGCUUUUGAUUUUUACAUGCUCAUAGGCAGAAGGAACUUGCCUUGUCUUAGAUAAGAUUUUGUACUAUGGACCUUUGAGUUAAUGCUGAAAUGAGUUAAGACAUGGGGGACUGUUGGUAAGGCAUUAUUGAUUUUGAAAUUUGAGGACAUGAGAUUUAGAAGGGGCCAGGGGUGGAAUGAUAUGGUUUGUCUUUGUGUCCCCACCCAAAUCUCAUCUUGAAUUGUAAUAAUCCCCACAUGUCAUGGAAGUGACCCAGUGGGAGAUAAAUUGAAUCAUGGGGGUGGGUUUUUUUCUUUGCUGGUCUUGUGAUAGUAAGUCUCACUAGAUCUGAUGGUUUUAUAAAAAGGAUUUCCCCUGCACAUGCUCUUUUGCCUACUGCCAUGUAGGAAGUGACUUUGCUCCUCAUUCACCUUCUGCCAUGACUGUGAGUCCUCCCCAGCCAUGUGGAAUUGUGAGGCAAUUAAACCUUUUUCCUUUAUAAGUUACCCAGUCUCUGGUAUGUCUUUAUUAGCAACAUGAGUACAGACGGAUACGCCCUCCUUUCUAAAGGAUUCUUUCUUAAACUCAGGCAUUAAGCUACAUGGCCUCAUUUUUAACAAUUAUGAUGGUUGUUAGUUUUACUGGUUUCUUGCUCAAUAUUUUUUCUUGCUUUUGUCUCUCUUAACUGGAUUCAUGUAUUAUUUAAUGCAGUAUGUUCACAAGUAAUUUCUGGACAUUUGAGAAA